rnacentral:lncRNA from 1 species
CAAACCUGAGGAAUUUAACAGAGGAGAAUCCGGCAUGCCCAUCAAAAACCGCGGCAAAAGAAAACCCAUUAAGAUCAUCAGAUUGAACAAUAACAACAUCGUCUUCCAUUUCUUCGCGAGCUCCUUGUAACUUAAUCGAACCCCAUCUAAUUCCCGAUGCACUCGUCAAUGAAGACGGCACGUCUAUUGCAAUCGCGGAGCAACAUCUUCCCUUUCCACCUUUAACUACGACCUCCUUUCUCGCGUUCUUGUUAUAGCCAUAGUUGCAGUGAAUCUUGCUCAAUAGAAAUUUUUGAAGCUGUGGACUGGACAAAGCCAUUGGAGGGAAUUGAAGGCACAGAGCUCCAGAUGUACAAAUGGGUAAGCUGAUGGUACUACCAGCGAUCAAAAAUCGCUUGGUUUGAGUUUUAGCAUCGGAUAAUAGGGAGGGAAAGGCAGACCGCUAACUGAUUUAACGGAUUAGAUUUCAAG